UGCAUGGUAUGGGGUCCCGGAAGAUCGGAGGGUACAAUUUGCCAGUUUGAAGUUAAUUGGCACUGCUCAACUCUUUUGGGAGAGUGUUGAGGACCGUCCUCCUUGAAAGGCGUCAUGCUCCCCCUAUUGGGAGCUAGGAUGAAAUGAAGCGUCGCCUUCAAGAAAAAUAUUUACCCCAAUCUUAUAAGGGUAACUUGCUGGAUCAAUGGAACGCACUUACACAAGGCAAUCGACCUGUAACCGAAUAUGUUGCUCAGUUUGAUGAGUUUCGAAUGAAAUGUCAGGUUGUUGAGGAUGAAGUUAUGACUUUGAGUAGGUUUAGGCAAGGCUUAAGAGACGAACUUAGGCGCGAGCUUGUCCUUAGGGGUGUCACCACUCUCGACCACGCCUACUCUUUCGUUCAGGAUUAUGAAUUAGUGACUAGGACACCGUAUAGAAAUCGUAGCGACUCCCGCACUACAACCUCAUCUGCAUCCACGCCAUCCCCUAAGUCUAUUCUAGGUCCUCCUCCCUCUAAUACUACACCUGCAUCGGAUAGCAAAGGUAGUGGUUCUGAGGUUUCAAGGACAUCCUCCCGUUUGCAAUGCUUCAAUUGUAAGGGUUUUGGUCACAUUGCUUCUAAGUGCCCUAGCCGAGCCCUAGUUCUGGACGAACGUGAGGAUAUAGUCGUCGAUCCACUAGAGGAUCAGGUUUAUGAGCCUAAGUUAGAAAAGUUUGAAGACUUGGAGGACAAUGAGGAUACCUUCUUAGGUUGUAUUCAGGCUAGUCCCAUUAUCCCACAUACACCCAGAGUCGGUGUCGUCCGCUGCACCCUCACCCAGCCUAAGGAUGCCGACGAUUGGUGCCGUCAUGCCAUCUUCCACACCUACGUCAAGAUUAAUAACAAGGGCUGUAAAGUUAUCGUGGAUAGUGGCAGCUGUAUUAAUGCGGUUUCGAAGGCUACUAUAUCCCGUCUAGGGUUGAAGCGAGUUCCUCACCCCCAACCUUAUAGUGUCUCUUAGGUUGACACCUCCUCUAUAGCUGUUAAGGAGCUUUGUUUAGUCUCUAUCCAAUUCCUGGAGUAUAAGAACCAUAUAUGGUGUGACGUUAUUUCGAUGGACGUCGGGCACAUCAUCUUAGGACGACCUUGGCUAUUUGACCUAGAUGUAACCAUAUAUGGUCGAUUCAAUUCCUGCUCCUUCGUGGUUAAUGGAAAGAAGAUUCACCUUAACCCACUACCCCCAAAACCGGCUGGCUCACUAGAAGCGAAGAAAAGUGUGGAACAAAAGGGGUUGCAUAUCAUUAGUCCUACAGAGUUUGAGCGUACCAUUGUUGGUGACUCAAUUGUGUUCGCCUUAGUAGUCAUGGAGGUUUCAUCUAACUCCACAAGUGAGGAUACUGCAGAAACCCAAUCAAUCCUUCAGGAGUUUCGAGAUGUCUUUCCGAAGGACCUACCUGAUCAUCUACCUCCGCUAAGAGAUAUUCAACAUGCCAUAGAUUUCGUCCCCGGCGCAUCCCUUCCAAAUUUGCCACAUUAUAGGAUGAAUCCUACCGAGCACGCUGAGCUCCAAAGGCAAGUGGAUGACCUUUUCAACAAAGGAUUCAUUCGUGAGAGUUUAAGCCCAUGUGCUGUCCCCGCCCUAUUGACGCCCAAAAAGGAUGAAUCGUGGAGAAUGUGUGUGGAUAGUCGCGCUAUCAAUAGGAUCACGGUGAAGUAUCGUUUUCCCAUUCCCAGGCUUGAUGACAUGCUGGAUAUGAUGGUUGGCGCGACAAUCUUUUCAAAGAUCGAUCUAAAGAGUGGGUAUCAUCAAAUUAGAAUUCGCCCAGGGGAUGAGUGGAAGACCGCGUUUAAGACGAAAGAUGGCCUUUAUGAAUGGCUGGUCAUGCCUUUUGGGCUAAGUAAUGCGCCGAGUACCUUCAUGCGGGUAAUGACACAAACUCUUCGGCCGUUCAUGGGUAAAUUUCUCGUUGUCUACUUUGAUGAUAUCCUCAUCUAUAGUAAAACUAAGGAGCAACACCGUGACCACCUCAAACAAGUUUGCUCUACCCUUCGCGAG
rnacentral:lncRNA from 1 species